rnacentral:rRNA from 1 species
GAUGAACGCUGGCGGCGUGCCUAAUACAUGCAAGUCGAGCGAACGGACGAGGAGCUUGCUUCUCUGAUGUUAGCGGCGGACGGGUGAGUAACACGUGGAUAACCUACCUAUAAGACUGGGAUAACUUCGGGAAACCGGAGCUAAUACCGGAUAAUAUUUUGAACCGCAUGGUUCAAAAGUGAAAGACGGUUUUGCUGUCACUUAUAGAUGGAUCCGCGCUGCAUUAGCUAGUUGGUAAGGUAACGGCUUACCAAGGCAACGAUGCAUAGCCGACCUGAGAGGGUGAUCGGCCACACUGGAACUGAGACACGGUCCAGACUCCUACGGGAGGCAGCAGUAGGGAAUCUUCCGCAAUGGGCGAAAGCCUGACGGAGCAACGCCGCGUGAGUGAUGAAGGUCUUCGGAUCGUAAAACUCUGUUAUUAGGGAAGAACAUAUGUGUAAGUAACUGUGCACAUCUUGACGGUACCUAAUCAGAAAGCCACGGCUAACUACGUG